AAAACGACUCUCGGCAACGGAUAUCUCGGCUCUCGCAUCGAUGAAGAACGUAGCGAAAUGCGAUACUUUGUGUGAAUUGCAGAAUCCCGUGAAUCAUCGAGUCUUUGAACGCAAGUUGCGCCCGACGCCAUUCGGCCGAGGGCACGUCUGCCUGGGUGUCAC
rnacentral:rRNA from 1 species